ACACCACCGCCUUUUACGUUACGUCAGCGGAAGUUUUUACGACUCACUGGUGAUAAUGAUGGUUUGAGCCUCCUGGCUGCUUGGCCAAUAAAGGGCAAGAAUAAAGCGAGUCCCGCCUCUUCCUCGGGCGACUGGGUCUUUCCGUCGACACGGGGCAACGUGAGGAAAUGCUACCGUUCAUACUCCAGAGCCCUUGCGGGAUCAGCCUGAGGGUAAGCUUCAGCUGAACCCACUGCCUAGCUCCUUCCCCUGCCCUGUUCUGUUUUCUGAACUGCCUUACAGAUUUCAGCUGACAUCACUCACCUUCUCGAAGAAUCCCAGGCACAAGAAUCCUCAUCUCCAACUUGGCUUCUUGAGAACGUGGCUUGAGACAGUAAAUAUACAAUGUUAAACAGUCAUGGAAAGAAGAAAGAACUGGAAAGCUCAAUAAUAAAAGCAAAAGCAACAACAAAA